CGGCACCUGCUGGACGAGAGAGAGAGUCCAGGCAAGGCUGUGCCGGGGAUGGCAAAGGGCUUUGCUACAAAGAAAUCAACAUUUGUACCAAUCCCACAGCCAGAGCCCACCAGACCCUGCUCUGAUGUGCUCUGUCCUGCCCGGUGCUGCAGCGGCUCUCAUCAAGAGAUGAGACUGAGACCCGGGUCCCAUUGCGCCCGGCGCUGCACAGACCCUGACUGAGAUCUGAGGCCCCAUUACGCCGCGCACUGCACAGACCGCAGCUAAAAUCAGGGCCCCCUCGUGCCGGGCAUUGCACCCACCCCCCGAGAAACAGGCCCUGCCCUCACAAUCUAAAGAGGACAGGGAGGCCCAGAGGGGGAAGCGGCUCCCCCAGGCCCUGCAGCAGAGGCCAGAGGCGGAGUUGGGGAAUAGAACCCAGGAGUCCGGGCGCCCAGCCCAGCUUCGGAGAGCAACAGCGAUCGCUCCCCUGCGGGUCUUCUCCUCUGCGGCCUCUUCCAAAGAUCCCGGGUCUGCACCGCGCUGGAAAAUCCCCUGAGCUUCCCCGCUCGGCUCGGACCCCAGUGGAAAAGCCCGGCCGGGCAGCAGGACCCCCGGCUCGGGGGACAGAACAAGUCAAACGCACAGAAGAGGGAAGAGGAAAGAACAGCAAAGAUAGAAAAUGCAGUUCUGCCUCGCAUGCUGACUCUUACUUGUAACCCAGCUCUUGGAGAAACAGAAAAUGGAAAAGGUACUUGGUUGUAUUGCAAGGUUUACAAAUUCCUCAUCCCAAAAUUGGGAUUGUCAAAUCUUAUUUGAUUAGAUGACAUAUGAACUUUUCUCAUGUUAAUAAAGAUAAGAACUUACAACUCACUUUAUUUACCCCUAAAACAAUCUUAACAGUGCUGCUGUUCUCGGUCUUAAAAAGUUUAGAAACACACUAGCUCUUAUCAUAUUUUGACUGAAUGCCCAGAGUGGGUAAAGAUCGAAAAAAAUCUCCCAAUCCCAUCCCCCACCUCUUCCAUAUUUAAAGCUGCACGUCAUGAACCGUGAAAAUGUCAUGCACAAGUGGUUACAUUUCCUGACUUGCAAAAAUUUGAGCCUGUUAGCCAAAUGGGCUCGUUUCCCCCUGGAGCUGCCCAAUUACCCCAAGGAGGCACGGGAGUCUAGAAGACGGCUUCAAGUUCUUUAUUGUUCAGUCAGCUGAGCGGGUGUCCCCCUCGACUCAUGCCAGAGGGAGGAACACACCUUACAAGCGUAGAGCAAGCCUUUUUAUACCCAGUAACAAA